UACGUAGGGACCAAGCGUUGUUCGGAUUUACUGGGCGUAAAGGGCGCGUAGGCGGCGUGUUAAGUCAGCUGUGAAAUCUCCAAGCUUAACUUGGAACGGUCAGCUGAUACUGAUGUGCUAGAGUGCAGAAGGGGCAAUCGGGAAUUCUUGGUGUAGCGGUGAAAUGCGUAGAUAUCAAGAGGAACACCUGAGGUGAAGACGGGUUGCUGGGCUGACACUGACGCUGAGGCGCGAAAGCUAGGGUAGCAAACGGG
rnacentral:rRNA from 1 species